UGGAUCUUGUAGACUCCGUUGACGAGUUUACAUGUGAAUUGGCACAAAAUACCCCUCAGCAAAGUAACGGUGGUGACUGUGGCAUAUUUACACUCAAGACCAUCGAAUUCUUACAUGCUAGAUUACCAUUGACAUUCACACAAGAUAACAUGGAGUUCUUUAGGAAGAAGUAUGCAUAUGAGGUUUACAACAAAGAACUUAGCAUAUGAGCUGCGUGGUGAUGCUUUUUUCUUUCCUUUUUUCAUGUUUAUAGAUGCAUAUUAUUUAUUAUAUUUGACUUUUAAUUGUAAAUAUAAUGGUGGCUUAUAAUGUUCAUUUAACAAAGAUAACAAUGUGGUAUUGAUGUAAUGAUAAGUAAUUGACCUUAUAGGAAAUGUGCCAUGUUUAUUUA